rnacentral:rRNA from 1 species
GAUGAACGCUGGCGGCGUGCUUAAUACAUGCAAGUCGAACGGAGACUGUAGCAAUACUGUCUUAGUGGCGAACGGGUGAGUAACGCGUUGGUGACCUGCCCCGAAGAGGGGGGUAACAGUCCGAAAGGAUUGCUAAUACCCCAUGUGGUCGUUUGGAUUAGAUGCCUUACGACUAAACGGAUUUAUUCGCUUCGGGAGGGGCCUGCGUCCCAUCAGCUAGUUGGUAGGGUAAUAGCCUACCAAGGCGAUGACGGGUAGGGGACCUGAGAGGGUGAUCGGCCACAUUGGAACUGAGACACGGUCCAAACUCCUACGGGAGGCAGCAGUGGGGAAUAUUGCACAAUGGGCGAAAGCCUGAUGCAGCAACGCCGACGUGAGCGAUGAAGGCCUUCGGGUCGUAAAGCACUUUUUGGAGGGAUGAGGAAGGACAGUACCUCCAGAAUAAGCCUCGGCUAACUACGUG